AGCCAACCACAGAAAAGCCANCUCAGUUCGGAUUGUAGUCUGCAACCCGACUACAUGAAGCUGGAAUCGCUAGUAAUCGCAGAUCAGAAUGCUGCGGUGAAUACGUUCCCGGGUCUUGUACACACCGCCCGUCACACCAUGGGAGUUGGAAAUGCCCGAAGCCAGUGACCCAACCGUAAGGAGGGAGCUGUCGAAGGUGGAGCCGAUGACUGGGGUGAAGUCGUAACAAGGUACC
rnacentral:rRNA from 1 species